UUGACUCCUGCCUUUAGUGCAGCUCAUACCUGAACUGCUUCAUGCUCCCAAAUGUCUCCCAGCACAAACAGAAUCAUUUAGGCUGGAGAAGAACUUUAAGAUCGUCGAGUCCAGCUGUGUCUCCAUCAUUUUCCUUCCUGAGAAAUCCUCCAGCACCCUGUGAGCUGCCUGUACAGCCCUUGGUGUCAGCAGCUCCAGCGUGGCUGUUGGGUGACUGUAGAAAGGCUGGUGCAAACGUCUGUUCCACGGAGGAUGUGAAGUUCUCAUCCCUGGCACGUUGGUGAGCAAAGCUGAAGUUCCAGGGCCAGUUUCAGCCGAAGGCCAGAAUGUGGGAAUUCUGGGAUGCAGCAGCGAUCUGUAGUGGACAUGGUGGUGUGACAUGGAUGGGUGACACUGCCAUGGCCCAGCCACUGUGUGCUCCUCCACUCCCCCAUGCUCUCCUUGGCCAGGCUGCCGUGGGAGAUGCCAUCUGGGUCAGGGAAAUGCACAGAGCGAAAACUACACCUCCUGUGUUUUACUGAGUUAAAAAAGAUUAUUUAGUUGCAAUAUAGCCUUUAUCAGGUUUUUCUUUGAGUUGGCUCCGUUUUCUUUGGAAAACCUUUCCUGCCAGCACAUUUUCCACCGAUUCGAUGGACAAGACCGGCAGGACCCCGCUGAACCAGCCAGUGACCCCCCAGCCUAGGCAGUGGCAGAACGAGCACCUCAGGGCACACCGGCCACCGGCCGUGACCUCCCUCCCUCCAUUUCUUCAUCCCAGAUGUGUUUGAUGUCCCUGCCUGGUGUCACCUCUCUCUCCAGCCCUGCUUUGGACCCCCAGUGCCACGUGCCUGCUCCCCAGCCGCCCCUCACGCCGCGUCUGUGCAGGCUUCGUUAGCGUUUCUCAAUCAACGCUUUCUCAUUAGCGGCUGGGGCCACUGCGGGCUUUGAAUGAAGGUGGAGCCAGGCCAGAAAAAGAUCCUCUCCUGAAAAAUUAUAAUGAAAGCAAUAAUGGCUGGGUCCUUGAGCAAUGCCUGCCUAUGACAAUUGUUGUCUGGAGGCUACUUAAUUACGAAACUCUGUUCUCAGCCUCGGGCUUCACGGUCUUGUGCCUUUACUCUCUCUUGAGCAAUGGUUUAUUGCUAUUGCCCUCAACCUACUUCGUAUCAAGUUCAGAGUAUCCAAAAGUUAUACGAAAUAUAUGUUGGUUCUCUAUUCUAUUUGCA